rnacentral:rRNA from 1 species
UACGUAGGUGGCGAGCGUUGUCCGGAUUUACUGGGCGUAAAGGGCGUGCAGGCGGUUUGUUAAGUGCAGGGUGAAAGCUCCUGGCUCAACUGGGAGAGGUCCUUGCAUACUGGCGAACUCGAGGGAGGCAGAGGAAAGUGGAAUUCCCGGUGUAGUGGUGAUAUGCGUAGAUAUCGGGAGGAACACCUGUGGCGAAGGCGGCUUUCUGGGCCUUACCUGACGCUGAGACGCGAAAGCGUGGGGAGCGAACCGG